rnacentral:rRNA from 1 species
UGGGGAAUAUUGGACAAUGGGGGCAACCCUGAUCCAGCAAUGCCGCGUGAGUGAAGAAGGCCUUCGGGUUGUAAAACUCUUUUGUUAGGGACGAUGAUGACGGUACCUAACGAAUAAGCCCCGGCUAACUUCGUGCCAGCAGCCGCGGUAAUACGAAGGGGGCUAGCGUUGUUCGGAAUGACUGGGCGUAAAGGGUGUGUAGGCGGUUAUAAACGUCAGAUGUGAAAUCCCCGGGCUUAACCUGGGAACGGCAUUUGAUACGGUAUAGCUAGAGAUUGGUAGAGGGUAGUGGAAUUGCGAGUGUAGAGGUGAAAUUCGUAGAGAUUCGCAGGAACACCGGUGGCGAAGGCGGCUACCUGGGCCAAUACUGACGCUGAGGCACGAAAGCGUGGGGAGCAAACAGG